rnacentral:misc_RNA from 1 species
GAUGAAGAACGCAGCGAAACGCGAUAGUUAAUGUGAAUUGCAGAAUUCAGUGAAUCAUCGAAUCUUUGAACGCACAUUGCGCCCGCCAGUAUUCUGGCGGGCAUGCCUGUCUGAGCGUCAUUUCAACCCUCAGCCCCCGCUCGCGGGGCGCUGGCGUUGGGGAUCGGCCGUCCUCGCGGCGGCCGGCCCCGAAACACAGUGGCGGUCUCUCGCGGACUCCCCUGCGUAGUAGCACUACCUCGCAGAAGGGACGAGCGGGCUGACCACGCCGUAAAACCCCCCACUUCUCCAGGUUGACCUCAGAUCAGGUAGGAAUACCCGCUGAACUUAAGCAUAUCAAUAAGCGGAGGA